GAAAUCUUGAUGGGGUUUUGAGUCAGAAUCUUGUAAUUCUUGUUUGAAAGACCAUAAAAAUGGAAAUAUUUUCUCAGGAGGAAAUCUUGGUGGAAUGAUGAGUCAGAAUCUUGUAAUCCUGAUUGGAAAGACCAUUAACAUGGAAAUAUUUUCUGAAAUGCAGCACAGGAGGAAAUCUUGACGGGAUGUUGAGUCAGACUCUCGUAAUUCUUACUUAAAAGAUGAUUAAAAUGGAAAUAUUUUCUGAAAUGCAGCACAGGUGAGGAUCUGAGCUGCAGAGCAAAUGCUGCAGGUGAAACUUGCCCUGAAAAUCCCUCCCCAGUCCAGAGGUGAGUGAGUGAUGAGCCAAAAAAAGAGGAUUUCGAGACAAUGUGACUCCAGCAGGCCAUGAGAACAAUGAGAAGCUCAAAAAUAGCACUAUUGACUGGUGGAAAAACAACAUACAUAUAAUUUUCAGGCUUUGCUUAUUAAGAAUCAUUUACUAUCUGUGGAAACAACUUCUGACUUAAGCAGUGGGGCCUUAAAAAAUCACUUUUAAUUGGAAUGAGAGAGUUCCUCCCAGUGCAACCCUGGGUCUGUUGGUGCUGGAAGUCUGGAGAGUGCAAUUAAAAGCCUCCCUCACCUCUGUGAUGAUAUCUUGGAAAUACAUGCAGCUUUCUGGAGUUUUUCUCCUCAUGUUUGAAUAGUUUUUUGGCCAAUUUGAAUCUUCUGGAGGAUCUGAUGUUUUAAGUUUUGCCUGGCUUUGAAUUUCUCAGCUGCCCAGGACCUGCUGUGGUUGCUUUUUACUCUUUCUUCUCGUGCUGCGUCCACAAAUUAUGAAAAUGGGUGCUAAUGACAAAAAAAAAAAAAAAUAAUCCCCAUCGUGAUUCAUGGAAAUGGAAUUUUGUUGACAAAAAAAGGGGGAUUUAACUUGGCCAAAGGAAAUGCUUUUCCAACUGGAGAUGAAUAUCUCAGGAAUGACCAUUUCUUCUCAGAGACAGAACUAUUCCAGUUUUCAUUUCAGAAAAAAACCAGAAUAGAAUAAUGCAAAUAAAGACCUGGAGAAAAGCAAGCAGGCCCACCCGAAAGGGGCAGUUUUUCCAGGCAAAGAAGUCCCAAAAAGUGAAUUUUGGGUGAGUGAAACGAAGGUGGGGAGGAUGCUGGGGCAGGAAACGCCGUCACCUCCCCUGGGCUGGCCACACCUCGUCCCAGUGCAGACCAGCAGCUCCCAAAAUCCUGGAAUGGCCGGGCUUGGAGGGCACCUCAGAGCUGUCCCCAGAUCUGCUCCUGAGUCCCCAGGUGUCCCCAGACCCUGUCCAGGUGUCCCUUAGAGCCCCAAAACCCCAUUCCAAAAGUCCCCUGCCCUGGUCCUGGUGUCCC